rnacentral:rRNA from 1 species
AAUAGAUACCCGGGUAGUCCUUGCCGUAAACUAUGUAUACUUGGUGUAACUGGACUCAACCCUAGUUGUGCCGUAGCUAACGCGAUAAGUAUACCGCCUGAGGAGUACGCUCGCAAGGGUGAAACUCAAAAGAAUUGACGGGGACCCGCACAAGCAGUGGAGCAUGUGGUUUAACUCGAUGCAACGCGAAGAACCUUACCCAGACUUGACAUGCAGUAGACAGUACUAGAAAUAGUAUCUUCCUUUGGGACUGCUGCACAGGUGCUGCAUGGCUGUCGUCAGCUCGUGCCGUGAGGUGUUGGGUUAAGUCCCGCAACGAGCGCAACCCUUAUCAUUAGUUGCCAACAUUUUAGGUGGGAACUCUAAUGAGACUGCCUGGGGUUAACCAGGAGGAAGGUGAGGAUGACGUCAAGUCCGCAUGGCCCUUAUGUCUGGGGCUACACACGUGCUACAAUGGUCGGUACAGAAGGCAGCGAAGCCGCGAGGUGAAGCAAAUCCAAAAAGCCGAUCCCAG